AUGGGCAGGACCUGGCCUACCGCCUCGCGCAGGGCGUCUCGGGGCUGCUCCUCCACCUCCACGUGCAGACGUCGUAGCUCCCGUGGCCCGCCCCGCCGCUCAAGCUCCUCCCCUUCAACAUCGAGCUCCCCGCUGCCCCCUUUGCGGUCGGCGUCGACCUCCCGGCCGUGGCCGUCACGUCCUUCAUGGAGAUCGGCGGCCGGCUCGGGCAGGCCGGGUCCGACCUUGGCGCCUCCGUCGGCGGCGCCGUGCAGCAGCUACCACGGCAACUUCCCGCGUCGUUCCGCACGUGGCACCAGAAGUGGGAGGGGGGCCGCCGCGCCGCUAACGCCUGCCGCGGCGGUGGACAAGGGGGAAGCGAGGCUUGCCACGGAGAGGGCUCCCGAGGGCGGGGUAGCCUUGGAGGGCGUCGGGGAAGGAGGCUCGGGUCGGGUCGGUCUCCGAUUCAAAACUACCUUAUAUAGGGGCUUGCCAAUUGUAUAUAUAUAUAUAUAUAUAUAUAUAUAUAUAUAUAUAUAUAUACAAUAG
rnacentral:rRNA from 1 species